rnacentral:rRNA from 1 species
UAGCGUAUAUUAAAGUUGUUGCAGUUAAAAAGCUCGUAGUUGAAUUUCGGGAUCGGUAGGUUGGUCGGGCCUCCGGUAUGUACUGGCUUUACUGGUUCCUCCUUCUUGAAGAACUGUAAUGUCAUUAAUUUGGUGUUGCAGGGAAACAGGACUGUUACUUUGAAAAAAUUAAAGUGUUUAAAGCAGGCAA